rnacentral:rRNA from 1 species
UACGUAGGGGGCAAGCGUUGUCCGGAUUUAUUGGGCGUAAAGAGCGUGUAGGCGGCUUGACAAGUCUGCUGUGAAAACUUGAGGCUCAACCUCAAGCUGUCGGCGGAAACUGUCAGGCUAGAGUCCGGAAGAGGAGAGUGGAAUUCCUGGUGUAGCGGUGAAAUGCGCAGAUAUCGGAAGGAACAUCAGUGGCGAAGGCGACUUCCUGGACCAAUACUGACGCUCAGGUGCGAAAGCGUGGGGAGCAAACAGG